CACAAAAUGUCGACCUCCGAAAAAGAAACAAAAAAAACAGAAACAUGGCAAUAGCGAAGAAAUUUCCCUUAUUUCCUGUGGUGCCCCUGAAGAACAAUCAGUUGAUCGUUGUCCUUUGCGACAAUCUUUUUCAUCUAUAAUGACGACCGGUCUUGAAGGAGACAAUGCUUUGAAUUCACAAAAUGAUCGACCUCCGAAAAAGAAACAAAAAAAACAGAAACAUGGCAAUAGCGAAGAAAUUUCCUUUAUUUCCUGUGGUGCCCCUGAAGAACAAUCAGUUGAUCGUUGUCCUUUGCGACAAUCUUUUUCAUCUAUAACGACGACGGGUCUUGAAGGAGACAAUGCUUUGAAUUCACAAAAUGAUCGACCUCCGAAAAAGAAACAAAAAAACAGAAACAUGGCAAUAGCGAAGAAAUUUCCUUUAUUUCCUGUGGUGCCCCUGAAGAACAAUCAGUUGAUCGUUGUCCUUUGCGACAAUCUUUUUCAUCUAUAACGUAAGAAUAUUUUUUUUCAUCUCCUACAAUUCUACCUUUUUGAUACAAAUCAGUAUUAUACAAUCCUAAGUUACAUGGCUCCA
rnacentral:lncRNA from 1 species